CAAAAGAACAAUCUCAAAAGAGUUAUGAUUAUCCAAAGUACAUAGUCUCAAAAGAGUUAUGAACAUCAAAGCAACAAUCUCAAAGAUUAAGAAAAAUUCUAAGUGAAGAAAUUUGUAUAAUUAUGGGUGGCAGCCCAGGUGCAAAGCCUAGCAUGGGUCGAUCCCAAUUGGUAUAGAUGGGUGGCAGCUCAAGGGUGAAAGAAUAGCAUGGUCCAAUCCCGAUUGGUAUAUGAAGGUGGAAGCUCAGGUGCGAAAGCCUAGCAUGAGCCGAUCCCAAUUUAUGGAAUUAUGAGGACAACAUCCCAGAGGUACAAGUAUUCAAAAGUAGAUCUGCCCAAUAGAAGCACAUGAUAUACUCAGUUGUUGUUGGUUAUGGAAGCUUAAAGGAUGUAUCUAUUAUUGAGGAGGUUUAUAUGUGAUUUCAAAGCUCAAAAAAAGGAAUUCUUAAGUCCAAGGAUGUCCUAUGUUUAGGUUACUGGCAAGUCUUUUAUUAUUGUACUAUAUUAUAAUAUAAGGAUUAUGUACCUAAAGUACUCUUGAUGUUGA